rnacentral:lncRNA from 1 species
GAAGAAGAAGUUGUGAUGGCUUCCUCUAUGCUCUCCUCUGCCGCUGUGGUUACCUCCCCAGCUCAAGCCACCAUGGUCGCUCCAUUCACCGGCUUGAAGUCAUCCGCUACUUUCCCCGUCACCCGCAAGGCCAACAACGACAUUACUUCUAUCUCAAGCAACGGCGGAAGAGUUAGCUGCAUGAAGGUAAUGUCCUAUAAAAACUGUAUUUUGUCAUGUGUAAUUAGUGAAAUUGAACAAAACUUAGAAUAAUUGGAAUUGGGAGUUAUAGGUGUGGCCACCAAUUGGAAAGAAGAAGUUUGAGACUCUAUCUUACCUCCCUGACCUUACUGACGUCGAAUUGGCUAAGGAAGUUGACUACCUUCUCCGCAACAAGUGGAUUCCUUGUGUUGAAUUCGAGUUAGAGGUAAUAAACACUGGACCUUUCGUUUGUCUCUAAUCAUUAUAUAUUAUUUUCUUACAUAGCUAAAAACCAAAGUCAAUAAGCUUAUUUUCGUUUGUCUCUAAUCAUUGUUCAUUGAAUGGAUUUCGUAUUCAUUUAUAGCAUGGAUUUGUGUACCGUGAGCAUGGAAACACACCUGGAUACUACGAUGGACGGUACUGGACAAUGUGGAAGCUUCCAUUGUUCGGAUGCACCGACUCCGCUCAAGUGUUGAAGGAAGUGCAAGAGUGCAAGAAGGAGUACCCUAACGCCUUCAUUAGGAUCAUCGGAUUUGACAACAACCGUCAAGUCCAGUGCAUCAGUUUCAUUGCCUACAAGCCCCCAAGCUUCACUGAUUCUUAAUUAAAUCCUUUCUGGAAUAUUCAAUGUUGACUAUCCGGAACAAUUUUGUAUGGUCAAUGUAAAUUUAAGUAACUAUUAUCUAGCCAACUUAAACGUUGAGCAAUUGUUUUGCGAAAAGUGAAAAAGUUGAAGGUUUAUUUUCUAUCAUUUCCUCUAUAAUUAUAUCUAUUCAUAUCAUUUCAUUUUUGAUCUUAUCACUUUGAACUCUUUCAUCUUCGAUUUAGCUCUUUUAAGCAACAUUUUAUUUCCUUUACAUUUCCCUCCUAAUUUUUGCUUUUGAUUCUCUAGACUAACCUAUAAUAGAAGAGAGACCUUUUUAGAUACCUUUUUGGAAAAACUUUGCACAUGAAAUCAUAACAAAGAUGCCUCAAUAAAUCAAAUCUCGAAAGGGCCAGUACCUUGUGACUUAGAUGGAUGGGCUAGGACGAUCUCGCUUUCGAAAAAAAGAUUUAUUUGAUUUUGCUGUGGGUGGAGCAAUGUUGACUACCUCCGCACUAUUUUCUUGAACGGUUUUGGCUAUUUUGUACCUUGUACGCGCUUCUGCUCACGGGAAAUUUGUGAGCUUUAAGUUGGUAUUGUGGAUCCAUGACCAUAGCUUCUUCCUGUGGCCUUAGGGAGAGUUCUUGCCUCGGUUCCACACCGUCCAUUGAAGUGUGCUAUGAAAAUUCCCCACAAUCUGUCAUGUCUUCCAUGCUUAAGUUGACAUGGUGGAAAUCAUCUUGAGGUGCCACAUUUUAAGUGGGCCGUACGUGCAAUGGUGUGGUGCUCCGAAAGGAACGGUAGCAUGGGUUCCUAUAGCAUUGGAUCGUUUUCUAAACAAUAUGCAUUAUGUGUUUAUAAAUUUUAGUAAUUGUACAUACAUGUCCCAGUUUAAAAACAGAUUAACAUACAUUAUAAUUUUAAGGGCUGCCUAUAGCGUUACACCUAUACUAUAGCGUUUCAACUCCUAUCCACCUGUACUUUCGACCUCUGCCCAAUUCACCUUAUACUUGUUUUAAACUUCCUAAUUCCACCUAAACUAUUAAAUUCUCCAUAAUUAACCAAAAUCAAGAACUCUCUAUAAUUGCGAUUAAAAAUCGUUCAAAUCGCGUUUACUGUAGGCCAACCCGAGUCAGAUCCGACCAGCUUCGAAGACUUCUUUCACCAUAAGGGUUUGACUCGUGUUCAUUUGUUUUGUCGGGUCAACCUCGGAUUAAUAUAAACACAUAUUUUUUUACUGCAAUUUGAACUAUUUUUAAUCGUAAUUAUAGAGAGUUGGGCAGAUGUCGAAAGUACAUGUGGAUAGGAGUUGAAACGAUAUAUAUAGUAUAGUUGUAACGCUAUAGGCAGCCCUAAUUUUAAUAAGAAUGAUAUAAACUCAACUAAACUUCCUCUUCUUAGUUUGAAACUUUGCAUGACCAUUAACUCUCUUAUACUGCAUAAGACAUAAUUAGUGACAUAUUUUUUUCUUUCUAUUAUCAAUAUUUUCGUUAGCAUGUACUCGUUGUAAGAUGAAUAGAGAAAUAAUUGAAUUAUGAAAUAACGAAAUCAAUGUAUAUAUAUAUAAAACAAAAACAAUUUUACGCUGAACAAUUUUUUUUUAAAAAAAGGCAAAAAAAUUGCUUGUUUCAUAUUAUAGGAUGUUUUGGACCUUUUUUUUUGUUUCACAAUAUAUAAUGCUUUGAAGAAAAAAUACAAGUUUCUAUGUAAAACAUUAAAUUUAAUAGAUUAUUGACUAUUUACAUUAUGCAGUAAAUUAUAUCACUGAUUAAAUUAUUUUUAAUAGAUAUUAAUUUUUGUUUUAAUGUUAAAAACUCAAGAUUAGUUAAUUUCUUAAACUUUGUGCUUUCAUCUUUUUUUUUAUCUUUUUUUUUUGUCAUCCGAAAUUAAUUAUACCUCAAAAGAGAGAGUAUUAUUUGAAACAAAGAGAGUAUUAUUUAGCAGAUAAAUGACUUUUAUCUGAUUUAAUUAUAAUUUUAAAAUGUGCGGGAUGAAUUAAAAGAUCAUUUAUCAUUUUUCACGUUUUGUUUUUUUCCAGUUAGGUUUUUGUGAAUGGUUUUUACUCAGCGUAAUCAUGUUUUAAGAACAAGAACGUGAGAAAGUUAACAAAAUACCGUUGCAAGACUUUAUUUUUGUUUUACACAAAAUGUAGUUUUAUAUUUUCAAAGUAGUUUUUUUUAAUAGAAUUUACUUAUAUUCUUUUUAGUUAAGAUAAUCAAAUGGGAAAAUAAAAAUAUUAAUGUGUUAAUACAAGAUAAUAGAAAUUUAAUCAUUUUAAUAUAUAUGUAAAAAGUAUUCAACCGAUAUUUACAAUUAGACAGAACUAAGAAGUAUUAAAUUUCUCACCUCACCUCCCAAAAGAAAGGAGCCAAAAGCAACCGAUCAAGUGGAGACCAGUACUAGCCAUACACAUUCACUCGUUCCCUUACAAGAGAAAGAUAAGAUUAUGGAGUUUUCUGCCACUUGGUCUUAUCCUAGUGGUCCGAAUUGAUAAGGGUUUCAACACCUUUCCUUAAUCCUGUGGCAAUUAACGACGUUAUCAUGAAUUAUGGCCACUUUGAUCAUUAGGGCUUUUUGCCUUGCAGUUCUCACUAUAUAAAGAUGACCAAAUCAAUCGACAAACAAGUAAAAGAAACAACAAGAAGUAGUGAUGGCUUCAUCUAUGCUCUCCUCUGCCGCUAUGGUUACCUCCCCAGCUCAAGCCACCAUGGUCGCUCCAUUCACCGGCUUGAAGUCAUCCGCUGCUUUCCCGGUCACCCGCAAGGCCAACAACGACAUUACUUCUAUCUCAAGCAACGGCGGAAGAGUUAGCUGCAUGAAGGUAAUGUCCUAUAAAAACUGUAUUUUGUCAUGUGUAAUUAGUGAAAUUGAACAAAACUUAGAAUAAUUGGAAUUGGGAGUUAUAGGUGUGGCCACCAAUUGGAAAGAAGAAGUUUGAGACUCUAUCUUACCUCCCUGACCUUACUGACGUCGAAUUGGCUAAGGAAGUUGACUACCUUCUCCGCAACAAGUGGAUUCCUUGUGUUGAAUUCGAGUUAGAGGUACUAAACACCGAACUUUUCCUUUGUCUCUAAUCAUCCUUUAUUAUUUCUGUUCAUUGGUAGAAACAUAAGUCAAUAACCGGAUUUUAAAACCCGAAAUAGACUAUAACCGUGUGACUCCUCGACUAUCAAUGGUAUUGAAUGGUUUUGUCAUCUGUUUAUAGCACGGAUUUGUGUACCGUGAGCACGGAAACACUCCCGGAUACUACGAUGGACGGUACUGGACAAUGUGGAAGCUUCCAUUGUUCGGAUGCACCGAUUCUGCUCAAGUGUUGAAGGAAGUGCAAGAAUGCAAGAAGGAGUACCCUAAUGCCUUCAUUAGGAUCAUCGGAUUCGACAACAACCGUCAAGUCCAAUGCAUCAGUUUCAUUGCCUACAAGCCCCCAAGCUUCACCGAUGCUUAAUUCCCUUUCUGGAAUGUUCAACGUUGACUAGUAUUUCGGAAUCCAAUUCUAUGUGGUCAAUGCAAAUUUAAGAAAUUAAUUAGCCGACUUAAAAGUUGAGGAAUUAUUGUGUGAAAGUGAAAAAUUUGAAGGUUUUUUCUAUCAAUUUCCUUAUAAUUAUAUUUACUCAUUUGAUUUCAUUUUUUUUCUUCUAGCUCUUUGAGCUCUAUUUUUCGUUUAGCUCCUUUUGACAACAUUCCGGUUCAUUUAAAUUCUCCUCAUUAUUCUUGCUUUUGAGAAAUUGGCUACAUUGUUUCGAGAAAUUUUGCACAUGAAAGCAUAACAAAGAUGCCUCAAUUUAUCAAACCUCGAUGAUUUAGAACAAAAGAUUAUUUAAGGGGGUGUAACCUUUUAAGAUGAAAUAGCCAUUGGAGAUAGCAAAAGGUAGUAAAAGACGUAUACACUAUAAACAAAAUCCAAAUGUAUGCUUUUAAAAUUAUAAACAUGUAUUCCAAACGCCUAAGUGGAAUAUUCAGUUUAAUUCAAGUCCAAGAAAUGGCAUUAUAUAAAGCAAGGAUCGACAAAGACUGAAAUUUGUCUAGCAUGAAGUUACUAAAUUUUGGAAAUUGUGUUCACGUUAAAAGCUGAAACUUAACAGUUAUUUAUAAGGAAAAGCAGUUAAUGUUCCCAAAAAGUUCUAAAUGAAACUAGAAACCAAAUGAUAAAGAAAACGUAGCAUCUACAUGUUUGGUUUUAGUUUUUUUUUUUUUGACAAAAAUAUUCAAAUGUUUUUAGAUUCUUCUAUGCAAACGAUAUAUAGAAAAUAUAUACAUGAUUCAAAUAUAAUACAAAUAAAAAUAAUUAUUGAAAUUACCGAACAUUUUUUUGCAUCUCCCUGAUUUACUUCCCACAUUUUCGUUUCAAAUAAAAUUCAAGAAAAAGAAAGACGACGAAAAAAAAUGACUUAAAAAGACAAGGGACAGAAGCUGGUAACUUAGAUGGAUGGGUUAGGACUAUCUCACUUUCGAAAAAUGUUUAUUUGGUUGAGGUGCGGAGUGGAGUGGAGCUUGUGAUUCUUUGCCCUAUAUGAGAGUUUUUUCGUGACCAAUUAUGGUGAUUGUGUACUUUGUAUACAUGUUUCUUCUCAUAUGGUUGAAAUGGGGGCAUUUGUGAGCUUUAAGGUGGCAGUCUUGAUCCACGACCAUAGCUUUACAUGACUUUAAGGUGAGUUCUUGCCUUGGUUCUACACCGUUGAUUGAAAUGAAUUAUGAAAAUUCCUCAUGAUCCGCCAUUUUUACAUGCUAAGUUUUUUUUUUUUGAAAAAUGCAUGCUUAAGUUGAAACGGUGGUUAUCAACUUGAGGUGCCAUAUUUGUGAUUAAGUGGGCCGUAAGUGCAACGGCGUGGUACUCAAAGAGGAACGGUGGGGUGGGUUUCACAUCGUGAUUGUGAUGUGAGUAUGUAUGUGACCAGAGUCCAGGGCCGGCUCAAAAUUAUUCGAGACCUUGUGCUGAUGUAUAAAAAUUGGUUUUUAAAUAAUAUAGUGAAAAUUUUGGACCCUCAAUCUUAGAGGAAAUUGAAAUUUUUUUUUGAGGACCCUGUGCUUUUGCUCCUCUAGCACACCCUUAGAGCUGGCACUGCCAGAGUCACAAGAUAAUCGUGAGCUGGUCUUACUUGUUGAUCGAGAGGCAGCAUUAACUCAUAUAGAAGAAACCAUGGACCUCCGACCUUGGGAGGUUUUCUUGGAAAUUCUUCCAUGAUGGAAGCUUACCGCAUGAGCAUGAUACAGGUAGAUGCAUGAUGGUUUCGGUUGUUUGCUCGAUCGCUUUCUACCACAAACAUAUCUUGCAUCUAAUUGUUGUUGCCUUGUUGGUUCUCAAAUAUUUACUCUCGAAACAGUAAGAUGUUGUUAGCCAUACGUAAAUCAGAAAUAAAAGUAUAGUUGGCUAAAACUGCAGUGAGUAUAGAAUUAACCGAUAUCAAUUUAUUCAAAUUUCCGUCUCUCUUUUCUUUUGUUGGCUAAUAUAUUAUCAUUUGAAGAUAAUAUAUAGUUUUUCCAAGAAAAGAAUAUUGACAAUUUUUUUGUGGUAAGUGAUUUUAAGAAUGACUCCAGAAUCGACAGGUUACCCAGACAAUAUUUAUCAUGGAUAAACCUAUCGAAAAAUCUUAAAAAUCAGUAUUAAUAAAACGGAAGUAGUAAUGAACUUCUAAGCUAUGCAUUACAAUACAUUUAUCUCAAUGUCGAAUUUAAAUAAUUUUCUUAGAACUCCUUUUUUAAUGCGACCUUAUUCACCAAAUCAAGUGAAGCCAAAUUAAAUCAUGCAUGGUAAAUAAAAUAUCCAAAAGCAUUAAAUUUAAGGUAAUGCGUCUGAUUUCUUUCCUCCCAAACGAAAGGAGCCAAAAGCAACCGAUCAAGUGGAAACCAAUAACCACACAUUCACUUCGUUUCCCCCACAAGAGAAGAUAAGAUAAUGGAGUUUUCUGCCACGUGGCAUUAUCCUAGUGGUCCGUACCGAUAAGGGUGUCAACACCUUUCCUUAAUCCUGUGGCAGUAAACGACGUUAUCAUGAAUUAUGGACCCUUUGAUCAUGAGGGGCUUUUUUCCUGUUGCGGUUCUCACUAUAUAAAGAUGACAAAACCAGUAGACAAACAAGUAAGUAAGAGAAAAGAGCAAAAGAAGAAGAGAAACAACAAGAAGUAGUAAUGGCUUCCUCUAUGCUCUCCUCGGCCGCUGUGGUUACCUCCCCGGCUCAAGCCACCAUGGUCGCUCCAUUCUCCGGCUUGAAGUCAUCCGCUGCUUUCCCGGUCACCCGCAAGGCCAACAACGACAUUACUUCCAUCGCAAGCAACGGGGGAAGAGUUAGCUGCAUGAAGGUAAAGUAAAGUCAUUAAUGAAAGAUGUCUUUUGUCAUGGCAAUUAGUGUAAUUGAACAAAACAUAGAAUAAUUGGAAUUGGAUUCGGGAAUUAUAGGUAUGGCCACCAAUCGGAAAGAAGAAGUUUGAGACUUUAUCUUACCUCCCUGACCUUACUGACGUCGAAUUGGCUAAGGAAGUUGACUACCUUCUCCGCAACAAGUGGAUUCCUUGUGUUGAAUUCGAGUUAGAGGUAAUAAACACUGAACCUUUCCUUUGUCUCUAAUCAUUAUAUAUUAUUUUCUUACAUAGCUAAAAACCAAAGUCAAUAAGCUUAUUUUCUACACCAAAGUUGAGGCUAUCAUUGUCCAUCGAAUGGUUUUCUUAUGUGUUUAUAGCACGGAUUUGUGUACCGUGAACACGGAAACACUCCCGGAUACUACGAUGGACGGUACUGGACAAUGUGGAAGCUUCCAUUGUUCGGAUGCACCGACUCCGCUCAAGUGUUGAAGGAAGUGCAAGAAUGCAAGAAGGAGUACCCUAAUGCCUUCAUUAGGAUCAUCGGAUUCGACAACAACCGUCAAGUCCAAUGCAUCAGUUUCAUCGCCUACAAGCCCCCAAGCUUCACCGAUGCUUAAUUCCCUUUCUAAAACAUUCAUAUAAAUUAUCUCUGCUUAUUUCAUUCCUAUUGUCUGUGUUGUUUUCUCUUUAUGAGACAUUUUAUAUCGGAUUGUCAAAUGUCUGAUUUAUGAAUAUGUAUUUUAUAUAUUCUUGCGUCUUGAUUUUUCCGAUGCUUAAUUAGGUUUAGAAUUUUUAUUGCGAUAAGAAAAUAUACAAAAAAAUCGUUAAGAAGAAAAAAAUGCGUUAGUGGUAAUAUACUACUAGAAUAAUAA